GCCCAAGGGCGGUGCAGCCACAGUAGCCGUGACAAAGACUGUGGCCUGCAGUAUUAGUGGCACUCUGAGCCACGCUUCCCCGCUUCGCUUAGAGCCAUCUGAUGCUUGAUGCACGCACAGUUCUGGUCUCCUAAGACCGUGUUUUGAAGUGGGGCAAGAGCGUCUUGUAUACGAUGGCACCCAGGUUAGGGAGAAGGGACGGCUGGUGGUGAGGAAGGAGGUGAAAACCAGAAGGGCUGCAGGAAGUCCAGAUCUGAGCACAGGUGUCAACAUAACAUGAAGUCAGGUAGCUUGAGGACCUACUUCCCUCACCUUUGAGGUCAUGGCUCCACAGUACAGCAGUGAUGUUCACAGUGGAGGCCCCGCAUCACCGGGAGCGUGGUGUGUCCUUGUGCGGUUAUUUCGCUCUGGGACAGUGGUUCUCAGGCAUUACUAAGUGGAAGCUUGCGGAUUCCUGAUCCCACUCCAGACCUGUGGAAUCAGCAUUCGGAGGUGGAGCCUAGGGAUCUUCAUUUGGGCACAGAUACAGGAGUAUAUGAAUCUCUGGACACACUUUGUAAAGCAUUGGCUCCAGAAACCCAAGGGGGUACUCUGAUAGGUUUAGGGAUAAUUUCCACCCAGAACUGUUAAAGUUUUACAAAGGCUCUGCUUCAAGUAGUAUCUUAGUAACUUAGUUAGCUAGAGGUUAUUUUUUACUGCAAACUACUCUUCAAGUACUGUAGGUAGUUGAGGUUUGCUCUUAAAGGGGUUUUACUCUUUCUUUAGAUGGGUGCCUGUUUAGUGUUUGUGUGUUUUUUGGUUGCUGUAGGUUAUGGCAACCAUGUAAAUCACUUGUUUUUAAAUCAAAAUUCCCUUCAUAAACAUUGUGGUAACAUUGUUUUUGCAGCUGUAGUAGGGUUAUAUAGAAAUUCUUUACAAGAUCAUUUCCUUGGCAUUCCUCCCAAUUAAUAGUACAUAUAUGGUGCUCUUUUCUUGACAAUGGGAAAUGUUGCAAGUUUAGAGGUACCAAGAAGGGCUGUGUGCCGACUUUACCCCCCAUGUGGUGAGGGCUAAGUGAGUAGUAGUGGAAAUUGAAGAACCAUGGUAUCUGUUUUUGUACUGAAAACAUUUGGAAAGAGGAUUCCGUGGGGCAUUAGGAAAAAUAAUUUAGGUUCUUCCUGACCGUGGUAUAAAGACACAAUGAAUAGGAUACAGUGACCUUGAUGCAGUUUUGAGCAGCUACAAAUGUUUGUGAUCUGUGUGCCUCGCUUUGAGAAACAGCAGGAAUCUACAAAAUUAAGCUUGGAAAAAUAAAUUGAUAUAACAUUGUGUCAUACUCUGAGGAUUAAAUGCAUAAUUAUAUUGUAAAUUCUGACUGAGUUAAAAUAUCAGCUGGUGUCCAGCUGAGGUUUAGAAGUCUUGAUUCAGAUUUUAUUUUAAAUAUAGAGAAUCUUUUGUGUCUUUGCAUCCAGAGUGGUGUACAUCCAGCUUGACAGAACCUUUUAUUUUUAGCCUUGUUUCCAAAUAGAGGAUUAAGACUUGACAGCUCCAUAAGAAGUGAAUUACAUGCUCUAAGGGAAAUUGCAGUACCAGAAGAAUCUAGUCAGGAUAUUCCUAGUGCAUUUAAAUGGUGCCACAUACAAAACAAUGAUAAUUUAAUUGUUUUUUGUAUUUUAAUAUUUUAUCUUUUUCUCAAUUAUUUUUUGGGAAGGGGGAGGUAAUUAGGUUUGUUUACUUAUUAUUUUGUUUGGGGAGGGUAAUUAGGUUUAUUUACUCAUUUACCCUUGGAGAAAAUACUGGGGAUUGAACCCAGGACCUUGUGCAUGCUAAGCAUGCACUCUACCAGUUGAGCUGUACCCCUCUCCCCAUUGAACUUUAAACUACAGAGACAGAGUUUACUUUCCUCUGCUGGGUUCCUAUUACUGGGUUCCACCAGGAUAUGUUUAUUACUUUUUUUUAUAGUACCAUCCAGAAAAGAUGAAAUGCUACUGGGUAUACAGUUCUUUCUUUGCUUGAGGCUUCUCAGAUUCAAAAAAAUGUUUGUGUUGUUUGUAUAUGUUUCAUCAAGAAGCGUGUGACUACUUGAUGUGCUCUUGGUUUGGAUUUCCUGGUCUUUUCACAUAAAUCUUAUUUUCCAGCCUUCAGUCUGCAUUGUGGCCCAGCACCCUCUUCGUAUGCAGCCAUGUUAUGCAUGAGCCCCAGGCUAAACAGAAUGUGCUGAAAGAAAGGGAUGAUGAAAAGCGGGGUGCAGAAGAGCCUUGUCCUUGGUGUAGGUCUUGCUGAAGAGCAGCACGCCAGCGGAGGAGGGCACCUGCUCCCUGCUCUCCCGGACCGGCUCUCUUUAGUGUCAUGUGGCCACUUCUCUGGAUGACUGUCUUAUGAGUCAUCCCACGCUUCGCACUCUCCUCAUCUUCUUGCAACACAGCUCCAGUGUGGCUCCCAUCUCAACACUACUUGUUGAUUCCUUUGCCUGUAGAAUAAAAUCUUAAGUUUUUGACGGGGAUAUUUAAGACCUGGUCUCUGUUGAAGGCAGUAUGUGUAAAAAAAGGAUUGAGAAGAUUCAGGGUUUGAUGUAGGUAUAAGGAUACAGAGGAUGAAGCAGAGCUGGCAAAGAACGCCAUGAUUCUGAGCUUAGAUGUCUAAAAUAUUACUAAUAACCAUCCCAGUGACGAGGAAGGACCAUCAUGACCUGUUCUUGAAUACAGUGAUCUGGUCUGUGGUGACAGCAAGGAGCCUAACGCCUGUCAUAGUGACAUAAAUUUUGUCCCCUAAAAUGCCAAAACGAUAGAGUGAUUUUUUGCAUUUGUCAAAUGUGAAGAAGAUGAAAACAGACACAGGAAGUAACAAUAAGAACAAAACCAUUGUCGAUUGCGUCGAUGGAAUCAAAUUACAAACAUGUUGAACAACCAAUCAUUGAAGAAAAACCAUCAUGUUCAUCAAAAGAAGAAAUAGAUAAUCUUGUGCUUCCAGAUUGUUGGAAUGAAAAACAAGCAUCUAUGUUCGCAGAGCGGUACAAAUGGCUCGGAAUAAAAGAAGUGUAGACAUGGAUAUGGACACAUGUUAAAAUUUUAAAUGAAGGCAUACUGAAAAAGUCAAGUAGAGCUGCAGAAGCCAAUACUCCAACUGGAACAGUAAACAAAAAGGCCGGAAGAAGAUAUGUUGCAGAUGAAUGACAAUUGCAGUUCGCUUUGGCAGAGGAAAACAAGCUAUUGUUUAACAAAAAAUAAGAUAGUGAAGUGGACAAAAUUGAGACAGUUCCAGCAAAUGUGUAAUGAAUGAAGUUAUCUCUCAAAGGUCAAAAAAGAAUUGAAAUUUAGUCACUUGAAAUCACAAUGAAACGUUUUUAAGCAAUGUUUAAAAGGAUUGACUUAGUUAAGUUUGGUCAGAUAUGAAACAGCUUGGAUUCCUACAUGAAAAAGAACUCAUUUUAGAUGGGCAGGUAGCAAAAUAAAUUAUUUCAGUUAGAGAAAUUGUCAGAGAAUUAGGAGUUAAAGCCUAAAAAUGUUUUCUAAUUAAAGUACAAAAUCUUUAUUUGUCACCAAAUGUUGCUUGUAAUAUACAGGGAUUUCUAACAAAAGUAAAAAUUGAUUGAUUCAAAAUCUGAAAAAUUACAGGUACUUUAGCUUUAGGUAAAUAAUGUAAUAGAAGAGAUCCUGUCCAAGUAAUAUUUGGAGUACAUUUUGUCUCAUAAGAUGUAAAAAUUUAUGAGUCAAUUUCAAUUCGUGGCCUGAGAAAUCAAACUUGUAUAGCUAUAUUUUAAUCUUUUAAAUGUAUCAGAAGAGUUUCAGCUAGAUAAGAAAAAAUUAUUUUCUAUCACAAUAAAUAGCAUUCCAGUUCGGUUAGGUCCAAAGUCAGAGAUUUCAUUGGAAUUUUUUUAAUAAGCCUGAUAUUUUCUCUUAUUUCUUCAUCCCUCUGUGUGAUUGGUGCAGUUUUCUGAAAUGGUCCCUAUGACAGGUGUCCUGGGUACAGCCGUUAAGUGCUAAGUGCCGUGAGUCCACAUCAGUUUAUAGGGUUGCUGAAGAACUAAAGGGCAGUGAGUUUAGUGAUCUUGUGUACUCUGCCAGUUGGUUGAUUUGUGGAAGAGUCUACAAAACUUACUGUACUGUUGCUAACACCAGUUCAAGAUUUUCUUGCAACAACAGAAAUGCUAGCCAGAUAUUAACAGUCAAAGGGAAAUGGCAGUUUGCUUAGUCCCCAGUACCACAUGGCGUGUGAAUGGUGUAAAUCUGAAGCUCCAAGGAAGGGAAAAUGCCUGCCUGCGCUACCUAGACAAGUACUAGGAUUUACUUUGAAACUGAAACUUUAAAAAAUGAAAAUCAGAAUAAUUUUACAUUUUUCUAAUACGAAUCAGUGUGCAUAGGAUUUUAACUGUUUUGACAUUGUUAUAUAAAUUUUCUAUAAAAACCACAAGAAAAUUUUGGAAAAUGUUUCAUUUAUUGAUAAAUUUAGAGUUGCUUUUCAGUUUACUUGGUAACUCUAAAUUCAGUCUUAACAAGACUGAGCGUUGACACAAGAUUUAUUGGAUUUACUUAACUUGGACAAAGGUAGUUUCCAAACUGAUGUGCUUUUGCUCUGAAGGCAAAUCAAUUUAAAAAAUGAGUAGGUUUUUUUUUUUUUGGUGUGGAUUUAAACAAUAAAGGAAAUUAUUUUCUUUCAGUUGUUGGCAAACUUAACUGUGUUUGGAACAAUUUGGAUAUAUGAAUCUACUUUUUUCAAAUGUAAAUUUUGUGAAAUUUAUGUACAAAUCAAGUACUUGUGAUGAAAAAGGCACUGAGAUAAAUCCAGAUAAGCUUUAAGUAUAAAACACAUGUAGCAUGUAAAUUAUUCACAUUUACAACUAUAUUGAUAAUGUGUUGAAGUAAUAUUAUGGGUAAGUUGAGUUAAAUAAAAUAUUAAAGUUAA